GACGAACGCUGGCGGCGUGCUUAACACAUGCAAGUCGAACGGAAAGGCCCUGCUUUUGUGGGGUGCUCGAGUGGCGAACGGGUGAGUAACACGUGAGUAACCUGCCCUUGACUUUGGGAUAACUUCAGGAAACUGGGGCUAAUACCGGAUAGGAGCUCCUGCUGCAUGGUGGGGGUUGGAAAGUUUCGGCGGUUGGGGAUGGACUCGCGGCUUAUCAGCUUGUUGGUGGGGUAGUGGCUUACCAAGGCUUUGACGGGUAGCCGGCCUGAGAGGGUGACCGACCACAUUGGGACUGAGAUACGGCCCAGACUCCUCCGGGCGGCAGCAGUGGGGACUUUUGCACAGUGGGCGGAAGCCUGGUGCAGCAACGCCGCGUGCGGGAUGACGGCCUUCGGGUUGUAAACCGCUUUCGCCUGUGACGAAGCGUGAGUGACGGUAAUGGGUAAAGAAGCACCGGCUAACUACGU
rnacentral:rRNA from 1 species